AUAAGGAUCGGCUAACUCCGUGCCAGCAGCCGCGGUAAUACGGAGGAUCCAAGCGUUAUCCGGAAUCAUUGGGUUUAAAGGGUCCGUAGGCGGGCAGUUAAGUCAGUGGUGAAAGUCUUCCGCUCAACGGGAGAACUGCCAUUGAUACUGAUUGUCUUGAGUUAUUAUGAAGUGGUUAGAAUGAGUAGUGUAGCGGUGAAAUGCAUAGAUAUUACUCAGAAUACCGAUUGCGAAGGCAGAUCACUAAUAAUAUACUGACGCUGAUGGACGAAAGCGUAGGUAGCGAACAGGAUUAGAUACCCUGGUAGUCUACGCCGUAAACGAUGGUUACUAGCUGUUCGGCUCAAUUGAGGGCUGAGUGGUUAAGCGAAAGUGAUAAGUAACCCACCUGGGGAGUACGUUCGCAAGAAUGAAACUCAAAGGAAUUGACGGGGGCCCGCACAAGCGGUGGAGCACGUGGUUUAAUUCGAUGAUACGCGAGGAACCUUACCAGGGCUUAAAUGUAGUCUGACAGGUCUGGAAACAGACUUUUCUUCGGACAGAUUACAAGGUGCUGCAUGGUUGUCGUCAGCCCGUGCCGUGAGGUGUCAGGUUAAGUCCUAUAACGAGCGCAACCCCUGUGGUUAGUUGCCAGCGAGUAAUGUCGGGAACUCUAGCCAGACUGCCGGUGCAAACCGCGAGGAAGGUGGGGAUGACGUCAAAUCAUCACGGCCCUUACGUCCUGGGCCACACACGUGCUACAAUGGUAGGGACAGAGAGCAGCCACUUCGCGAGAAGGAGCGAAUCUACAAACCCUAUCACAGUUCGGAUCGCAGUCUGCAACUCGACUGCGUGAAGCUGGAAUCGCUAGUAAUCGCAUAUCAGCCAUGAUGCGGUGAAUACGUUCCCGGGCCUUGUACACACCGCCCGUCAAGCCAUGGAAGCCGGGGGUACCUGAAGUCGGUCACCGCAAGGAGCCGCCUAGGGUAAAAUUGGUAACUGGGGCUAAGUCGUACCAAGGUAGCCGU
rnacentral:rRNA from 1 species